rnacentral:misc_RNA from 1 species
GAAAAACAUUACUUUGUCAAUGUUUUGGCGACCUCUAAGGAAAUUGUUUACAAAUGGCGGCCGAGUCGCCAAAGUGCAAAAUGAUAGACUUUUAGGGUUAACAACGGUUUUACUGAUCAAAAUUCUUCAAGCAUGAAUUUUAAACCUAGCUGAGUAUAAAAGGGUCAAGUGAUCCAAGAUGUCACUUAGAACGAGAAUACGAGGCUUCACAGCCUGGGUGAACCUUCGCCUCAAAGCUCACGACCAUCUUAUGAACAAUGUUUUGAUGGACUUGAUGACGGGAACAAAUAUGAAAGAAUUGGUUGAAAGCAUGACUGGAAGGGACUUCAAACAACUCCAGAGUUUUGAUGGAUUAUCCCAAAUGCAGAAAAUUACAAGAGUGGAAUGGAUCCUCAGAGAAUUACAAACAUGUAAUAUAGUACCAGGAGACAUGUUCAUUGAUGCAAGGCUGUUUGCAAUGAGGAGUGCAGAUCAGAUAUUUGAGUUACUAUGGCGACUAGUUAGUCAUGAUAUCUGGUUUGUCUGGGAGAGAGCUGAGUUCUUGCAGCAUAAAGAUGAUGACAUUCUAUGUGAAGUGCCUUUUAAGUGGACCCCUGAUCCUCCACCAAAGUCAGCCAAAAAGAAAACACGACGGAAGCAGUCAUUGCUGUCAGGUUUUGGAGCAUCUUCAUUUAUUGAGGAAAAACUCUCGGGGGAUGAACAGAAUGAUUCCCCACCCCCUCCCAAAUGGGAUCCCUACCCUGGAGCUAUGAAGAUGAAGCAAUAUAAACAGAAUCGUCCUGCCCCUGGUAACUACCCGAGACCUGAUGAGUGCAUAUUUGAACUAGUACAAACACAUCUAAAGAUGACAAGAGAGGGAAGGAAGCUUGUUUGUGAGAGCAUUGAUGAUUUUGUAGACAGUCGUGUCCUCUGUGCACUGCUCAACUCCUUUGUGCCAAACAUAUUUACCACUGAAGUAUUACUCAAUGACAAAUGGACAAUCAACCUUGUGUUAAAAACUGCUGAGAAAAUGUUCUAUGCUGAUUCUCCAUUCAACUCAGAGGACUUGGUAGAAGCUGACCCAAUGUCUGUCUGUUCAUACUUCACUUUCUUCUUCCUGGUGGCGUAUAAAUACAGACAAGCAGUAGCAGUCAUUAAUAGAAUGGAAUGGCUACAACGUUUGGUCCGUGAAUGCCUCCAUGAACUGGAUCAGUUUCCACAGAUUGUGUCUAACAUGGAGGAGAUGAACAGACGUAAGGAGCUGAAACAAGAGAUUGAGAUGCACAGAGAAGACAUUGAAGUCAUUAGGAAACAAUACGAUGUUGAUUUCUGUGAAAAAUGGAGGGACCAUGUAAAGGAUGUCGUCAAAGAAACCCACAAGAUUGUGAGAGAGAAGAUCCAGCAAAGAUUUGAUGUUGUGAAAGUGCCAAGAAAUAUAACAAUAAAUGAUAUGUGCCUCUCUAUGGUUAUCAACUUGACACUGACCAAUGGUGCUGGCUUCUACCUGUGUGAUAGCAAGGAACUCUGUGGAGAAGGAAGAAGGAUUGUAUUGAGGAAUAAAAAGACAGGCGAAUUUUUAGAUGACUUUACUUCCAAAAACAAAGUGAGUGUGCGUAAGCUGCUGAGACUGAAGCAAUAUGAUGUUGUUGAAGUAAACCCAGACCAUUACCCAGAAUAUGAAAUAUUCUUUGAAGCCCCAUCCAGGAACAAACAACUGAAACAUGGAUCAUACUUUCUCUACCAAGUGUUUCCUGGCAACACCAUCAACUGGCAACAUCAGUUCAUAAUGGCUGCAAAGUCUAACGAAUUCGAUAUUGUUGAAAAAAUGGUGGUAUUCUUCAAGUCACAUCCAUCCUUUAUCAAUGCUAGAGAACCCAAGACUGGGAAUUCAGCUCUGCAUUGGGCAUGUAGGUUAGGUUAUGAGAAAAUAGUGCAGUAUUUACUAGAGAACUUUGCCAACAUUGAUCUGAAGAAUCGACACAAGCUGACACCACUUUUCCUAGCAGUGGAAGGAAUACAUAGGAAUAUAUGUCAUUUACUUAUAGAGUGGGGAUGUGACAUGCACUGCAUGAACAUGAAACAGGAAACUGUCUUAGAUUCCACCAAAAAUGAUGAAGUCAAACGCUUCCUUGCUGAUACGUAUGACUAUUACUCUGGUGUGGUCCCCAACAUAAUGAAGGGCAACCAGAAUGCUAUGGAGAAAACUAUACGUAACCAUAGCAAUGGAAUUUAUGAGCUGCGUAAUCUAAGAAGCAGGAUGAUAAAUGGCAGUACAUUACUACAUACAGCAGCCUAUUUUGGUCAGGUACCUGCAGUAAAAGAUCUGUUACAACUGAGGUUGGAUGUCAAUCUCUCAGAUUACAAAGGGGCAACUCCCCUUCACAGGGCCCGCAAUGUUGAUAUCAUGAGGAUAUUACUAGAUGCUGGUGCAUUGACUAAUGCUGAUGACACGGAAGGUAACACUGCCUUACAUGUGAAAUGUUAUGGUGAGACAGGAGAACCAUCAGAGGUACAAGCUGUAGAGUUACUCAUAGCAUGUGGGGCCAGCCUUAUUUUGAGAAACAACAGGAGUUUAAUGCCCAUACACUGUGCAGCCAUGCAGGGGCGUAUCGAUCUGAUCAAGUCCAUGAUGAAGUCUCACAAGUGUGACCAGAUGAUGGAGUGUCUCAACUCAGAGGAUGCCAAAUCUCCUCCCAGUCUAGUCCACCUUGCUGUUGCUAAUGGUUACCUUGAGGCUGCUGACUGGUUGGUCAGUACAGGAUUCUUAUUCAAGGAUGGAGAACAAGACACAUUGAUGCAGAGAAUACUUUCCGAGCAAAUCAAACCGGAUAAUAGGAUGGGGGCUGCCAAGUUUCUGUUAGAGCAUGAUGCUAAUCCCAAUCCUAGGUACCCAAAUGGAAACAGUGGCCUCCACUAUGCUGCCAGUAUGUCAGGCAAUACUGAUGUACUAGAUCUCCUUUUAGACUAUGGGGCAGAUAUAGAUGGCUACAAUGAUGACCUUUCAACUCCACUGUUCUUUGCCACACAGACUAACAAUCAGUUUGCUGCUAGUGUUCUGGUAGAGAGGGGGGCCAAUGUAAGAACCAAAAAUUCUCAAGGCCUAACAGCCUUUGAUUGUAUCCUUGACUAUGAUGAGUGGAUCAACUGUGGCUACUUUAGUGAAGAGAUCAGAGCCAGACUUAAAGCCUACAGUUUAAAACAUGCCAGAGAUCUAGUCAGAGCAAUCUCAAAGAAGGUGAAACCAAACUACAACUUCAUAAGGAAUGAUCUUCACUUAACUCAAUCAGCGCCUAAUUUGGGCAUACAGGCACUACCGACAACAUCACUCCCUGUUGUUCAGAUGCAAGACUCUAGGAUAAAUUUUUUUGAGACUGGAGGUAGAAAAUCAGUUCCUUUGGAUUCUCGAGGCAGUUAUCCUAGAAUAUUGCCCCCUUUGUAAACAGAUUUUCUCAGCUCUCUUAUUAAUGUCAUGCUGAAUAUGUUCAGAAAGUAGAUUGUGCCUUCAAAAGGAUGGAUUGUGCCUUUGGACUUCGGAGGGAAGUUCUGUGAAUUUUCUUGUAGCUUUCUGUGUAAGAAACCUUUUACAGUAACUGAUACAAUAACUUGGUAUGCCAAACAAAAGCCUGGGCAUCUAGACUCUUUAAGAUGAAGUUGACCUACCAGGAAAUUACAUUUUGUACUAGACACGCAUUUAAGAAAGGACGGAUAUUGUUAAUAUGUUUGCUCCUCACAAACUGGGUGAGGACACGGACCGCCAGUGCCUUAUCCUGUUACCCGUACAUGUGUUUUUUUAUACACAAUAAUACUCAUUAUUUGAUACAUCUGUGAUAUAUGUAAAGUGCCUAAAUCUACAUUUUAGUUAGACCUGGCACCAAAUCACCAUGAUGCUGGUUAGACAUGACACCUUACCAUGCUAAGACCUGACACCAUACUUUGAGACAUGAAAUGAUUGAUGGAACUGACAAAGUCAAACCAGACAUUACUUUUGGUGGACAGACUAUUUGAAUAAGAACAUGAACUUUCUGUUUGGCCAUCUUGAAUCUGCUCAGAAAGUAGAUUGUGCCUUCAAAAGGAGUUUCUGUUGGAUAUGGCUGACUUAACUUUUGACAAUGGAUUUCACACGAUUGUUACAUACAUGUACCACUAUGACUUGCAGAUUUAGACCUGCCACCAUUUGGACGUAAAAACCAUAGUGAGAUUAUAUUUAUUGGAAAAAAUAUUUUUAAGAUAUCAGAAGCUUGUAUACAUGUGAUUGAUUAUAUAACUAUUUUUACUUCCAAGUCGUUGACUUUUAUUAUGACUGUGCUGAAUUUAUGAGAUUAUCUGUGAUAUGGAUUUGUGAUAUUUUGUAAAUUGUAUUAUUGAACAUUUGAGUUUUGCAUAUAAAUAGUUUGUAUAUAUUGUACAUGUGAAUGGAAUUAUUGUAUAUAGAAACCUGAAAUAGAGAUAUGCAUAAAUGUUACAACUUGUAUAAUAUAGUAUUUUGUACUUAGAUUGGUUUGAUGCUUUUAGUUAAGUCAAGUUUUCAUGGUCGGCGAUUUUGCUUUUGUAUCAAAAGCGUUUCAAGUUAACCUCUUUUCACUUUGUAUCAGCAUCUAGAAGCAAUUUAUGUUAACGAUUCCCGAUGUUAACGAUAACGAUGGAACCCUUGAUGAAACUAGACACAUCAACGAAAAGGAUUUGAGACACAGGUUUCUAACAGUGCCAAAAUCGUACUCGAAUUAACUGACAGUUGACCACACUUAGUUAAUCUUAAUUAAUCAAUGUUAACUUUUUAUUAGUUUUGUCAGCAGUUCUGUAUUUCGUAUAUUAAUAAACACUUUAAUGAUUUAUGUAACCACAUGUUUUGAAAAUGUAUAUCCGUCUUUUUUAAAUGAGUAGCAGUGAGUUAGUUGGAUUACCAUUCACUUCUGGCUAUAGACGCCACAUUACACACGUGUUAAAG